CAAGAAGGGCUCCAAGAAGGCCGUCAC
rnacentral:piRNA from 1 species